UACGAAGGGGGCUAGCGUUGCUCGGAAUUACUGGGCGUAAAGCGCACGUAGGCGGGUUGUUAAGUCGGGGGUGAAAUCCUGGAGCUCAACUCCAGAACUGCCUUCGAAACUGACGAUCUUGAGUUCGGGAGAGGUGAGUGGAACUGCGAGUGUAGAGGUGAAAUUCGUAGAUAUUCGCAAGAACACCAGUGGCGAAGGCGGCUCACUGGCCCGAUACUGACGCUGAGGUGCGAAAGCGUGGG
rnacentral:rRNA from 1 species